UAGUGUUUGAUGAGGUUAAAUACAAAUCCACGAUCCAUGAGCGACAGAAGGUCGUACAAGAAGAAAGCCAGGCUGAUGUUCAUCUUUUCUGCCUGCUCGUUUUCCUUAAAAACAAACCAACACGUGAAUCAUUUUGCGGCAACAUUCCCAGCCCAAGAGAGGUCAGAGUUACACACGGUAGAGUGACCUCUUGCAUGAAAUGAGACGACGGCUUUUGUUGUGGUUACUUCUCGGUGCUCGUAUUUUUGACAUCUUACAGCACUUCAGAGCCAAGCUGAGCAGACACCGGGAUGGACAGAAACCUGACACAGAGGAGUUUCCACAGUAUCUUUGAGUGGUAAGUUCUCCGGCUCUAGCCGUCCUGCACAGGGGCCACUCCUGGGCAGUUGACAUAACUGUCUG